CUUUAGUACUCAGGUAAAACCACCAAACAGUUGCCUCAAUCUCAGGUGUGACCUCAUAAAGCAGUGGAACAUACCUGGCAGAAACCAGGAGUAGACAAAGGUUGUCAUGGAGACCAUAAACAAAACAGAAUAAGCCGAUCGAGAAUCAUCAAAAAAAUAUCUGCAAACCACUGCACAAAGGCAUACACAUUGAGUGGAGAUAGAGGGUAAGGACGGUGUAAUAAACAUGUAGCACCGUAUAAGAUAACAUACAGAGAUUGGGUUACCAUAGUAACAAGAAACAAAUAAUAAACAAAAAAUGCAUGUGUACACAGUCAUCAAAAUAAAUAAGGAAAUCAAUAUAUGAGAUUGUAUGUGGGAAUCAGGGAUUUGGACAGCUCUGGGUAUACUGGUUGCCGUGGCAACCAGGCAAACCAUGUAUGUCAGCACAAAAACUUACUGGGAAUGCAUUCG